CCUACGGGAGGCAGCAGUGGGGAAUAUUGGACAAUGGGCGAAAGCCUGAUCCAGCAAUGCCGCGUGAGUGAUGAAGGCCCUAGGGUUGUAAAGCUCUUUUACCCGGGAAGAUAAUGACUGUACCGGGAGAAUAAGCCCCGGCUAACUCCGUGCCAGCAGCCGCGGUAAUACGGAGGGGGCUAGCGUUGUUCGGAAUUACUGGGCGUAAAGCGCACGUAGGCGGCUUUGUAAGUUAGAGGUGAAAGCCCGGGGCUCAACCCCGGAAUAGCCUUUAAGACUGCAUCGCUUGAACGUCGGAGAGGUGAGUGGAAUUCCGAGUGUAGAGGUGAAAUUCGUAGAUAUUCGGAAGAACACCAGUGGCGAAGGCGGCUCACUGGACGACUGUUGACGCUGAGGUGCGAAAGCGUGGGGAGCAAACAGGAUUAGAUACCCCAGUAGUC
rnacentral:rRNA from 1 species